ACUCCCCUUUAUAAGGGCCCCAGGAGAGGCAAGCCCCAAGCUUGCCCACUUGGGCAGAGGAUCCUCCUCGGAUCAUCACCGGGGUUUGGUUUGUUUCUGCUGUGCAAGAGACAGAGCUUAGCCCUGUUCCUGAGCAGGUGCUUAGCCCUUCCCUUUGUCAUGGCUCCAGGAAGGCAGCAGCCCCAAGCUUGCCCAACUGGGCAGAGGAUCCUCCUCCUGCCAGCACAGUUCACUUCAUGCUGAUGGAAACCAGUGCAGGCACUGUGGUUCUGAGGAGCCUUUAGCUGAACUGUUUCUCAUCCAACAGGAGCUGCAUCAGUAAGAGAAGAAGACUAAUCAGACAAGCUGGAAAAACAAGCAGUUCACAUUGUGAAAGCAAUUCAUUGGCCACUCAGGCCUCAACACACUAUUGGCAGUGCCUGGAAACCAGAUACCUCGACUAGGCAAUUGCUGAUGUGGUGCUGUGGUCCCGUAGUCGUUUACCAGGGCCUCAGGUCAGUGUGCUUGGUCAGAGCUAUUAACUCAGCUCAUUCACUCGUGCAGUAGCUCUCUGUAUGAAGGGAUUUGCAGUGCUUUGCCUGGCUGCCUGGCUGGGGGCAGUGCAGCUCACAGUCCCAGCGUCAGCUACAGAUGCUGUAGGCUACUGGGCAGGCAGUGAUGCUGUAGCCAAGGGGGUUUGCUGUUGCACACAGGUCAAGAGGAUGACUCGGGUCAGGUGAAGAGGAAUGGGCAGUAGCUGAAGCCCUCCUGGCCCUGCAGGAGCUCCCUGGGUGGCUAAGGGUGGGAGUAAGCACAGAGAAUAUGCAGGAGGUGAUGGGAGGAGAGCUGCCUGCAGUCCAUGGUACUGGCAGAGAUGUGGCUGAGUCAGGAGGGCUGCAGAGGGCACAUGUCAGAUGCAUCCUGGCAUGGGCAGUGGUGGCAGGUGUUGUGUAAAGGGUUACCCCUCCCCCGGGGGUGGUCUAACCUGCCCCUAGGUGUAGUGGUUAGCCCACCCCACUUCCUAUCUAGACCCUCUACACAAACAGAGGAACUUCCUGUUUCUCUCUCUCUUUGCCCUCCCUGCCUGCCUGAUAGUGCCACCCUUGUUCCUGCUGCUCCUGUUUUUGCCAGGUGCCCACCUCACCACACGGUGGGAUGACAGCCCCUUCCUGAAUCUGCCCCCACUGCCAUCCACCUGGUGGGGUGUGUGUGUAUAUAUAUAUAUAUAUAUGUAUCUUAUUUUCCCUUCCCUAUACCUUUUUGUAACUCCCCUACCUUAAAUAGCUUUUACUUAUUAUUAAAGUUUGUCUUUGAACUUCAA